UUGCUUCGUAGUCAAGUUUGAGACUUUUUUUGCCCGUAACAAUCUGAGAUAUGCAUAAGCUCCUACUAAUCCUCGAAAAAGAGGAACUGGAGGUCUAAGAUUAUUUCCAUACUGGAAAAAGAACCGACGAUCCUGCUCUUCAUACCACCAGCAACAAAACUGUGUCAAUAAGUAGCUUAUAUAAUGUUAUAAAUGAAUCCAAUUUAUCAAGUCAUCAAAUCAUAAGAAACCACACAAUGUUGAUAAAUCUCACACUACAAAUUAGCUCCUUCUCACCUAUUAUUGCAUCAUGGAGUAUCUAUCUUUUUUGCUAUCUACAUAUCACAAACAUUAAUUAAUAGUCCACUUCCAGCCACAUUUUCAUAU
rnacentral:lncRNA from 1 species